rnacentral:rRNA from 1 species
AAUGAACGCUGGCGGAAUGCUUUACACAUGCAAGUCGAACGGCAGCACGGACUUCGGUCUGGUGGCGAGUGGCGAACGGGUGAGUAACAUAUCGGAACGUAUCCAAUAAUGGGGGAUAACGAGUCGAAAGAUUCGCUAAUACCGCAUACGCCCUACGGGGGAAAGCUGGGGACCUUCGGGCCUGGCGUUAAUGGAGCGGCCGAUAUCUGAUUAGCUAGUUGGUGAGGUAAAGGCUCACCAAGGCGACGAUCAGUAGCUGGUCUGAGAGGCCGACCAGCAACACUGGAACUGAGACACGGUCCAGACUCCUGCGGGAGGCAGCAGUGGGGAAUUUUGGACAAUGGGCGCAAGCCUGAUCCAGCCAUUCCGCGUGAGUGAAGAAGGCCUUCGGGUUGUAAAGCUCUUUCGCAAGGGAAGAAAACUUAGCCACUAACAUUGGUUGAGGUUGACGGUACCUUGAUAAGAAGCACCGGCUAACUACGUGCCAGCCGCCGCAGUAA